rnacentral:rRNA from 1 species
UAGGGAAUAUUGGACAAUGGGCGAAAGCCUGAUCCAGCAACGCCGCGUGCGCGAUGACGGCCUUCGGGUUGUAAAGCGCUUUUAGAGGAGAUGAGAAAGGACAGUAUCCUCUGAAUAAGCCUCGGCGAACUACGUGCCAGCAGCCGCGGUAAAACGUAGGAGGCUAGCGUUAUCCGGAUUCAUUGGGCGUAAAGCGCGUGCAGGCGGUUUGACAAGUUGGAUGUGAAAGCUCCUGGCUUAACUGGGAGAGGUCGUUCAAUACUGUCAGACUAGAGAAUGGGAGAGGGAGGUGGAAUUCCGGGUGUAGUGGUGAAAUGCGUAGAUAUCCGGAGGAACACCAGUGGCGAAAGCGGCCUCCUAGACCAUUUCUGACGCUAAGACGCGAAAGCUAGGGUAGCAAACGGG